rnacentral:lncRNA from 1 species
ACAGAAUAUUGCCUUUAUCUCCAAAAGUUUUUGAAUAAAUACACAUGUAAUGUUUAAAACUAUGCAUAUUUAUUUUAUUUAGAUUAUAGUGUAAAGAAUGAAUAUUUAAACACGGCUCGCGACAUGAUUGGAAAAAUAAUAGAAUGAUAACGCAAAUAAUCGAAAUGACGAUAUAUCUACAAUAAUGAUAUAACAAAUAAGCAAUGGCAAUAAUCAAUUAAAUCUAAUGUUAAUUAAACAAUAAUAAUAAUAAUAAAAGAAAGUGGAAUAUGCAUGAUUAAAAAGAUAAAUAUGUAUGACAUGAAAGUAC